rnacentral:rRNA from 1 species
AACGAACGCUGGCGGCAGGCCUAACACAUGCAAGUCGAGCGCGCCCUUCGGGGUGAGCGGCGGACGGGUGAGUAACGCGUGGGAACGUGCCCUUUUCUACGGAAUAGCCUCGGGAAACUGAGAGUAAUACCGUAUACGCCCUUUGGGGGAAAGAUUUAUCGGAAAAGGAUCGGCCCGCGUUGGAUUAGGUAGUUGGUGGGGUAAUGGCCUACCAAGCCGACGAUCCAGGGCUGGUUUGAGAGGAUGAUCAGCCACACUGGGAAUGAGACACGGCCCAGACUCCGACGGGAGGGAGCAGUGGGGAAUCUUAGACAAUGGGGGCAACCCUGAUAUAGCCAUGCCGGGUGAGUGAUGAAGGCCUUAGGGUUGUAAAGCUCUUUCAGCUGGGAAGAUAAUGACGGUACCAGCAGAAGAAGCCCCGGCUAACUACGUG